GCCCCGUUAGCUCUGAGUAUCAGAUAAACAAUGAAAAAUUUUUUAAUAUAAGUAUGUUCCACACAAUAUUUGGGAUAUACUUAUACUAAAAAUGUAUUCACCAUUUAUCUGUCACUCAAAGGUAACUGGGUAUCCUAU
rnacentral:pre_miRNA from 14 species